UAUUUCAUCAGUUCUUCAAAAGAAAUAACAUGAACAAGUCAGCACUUCUACUUUUGCUUCUCAUCGGACUUCUCGUCCUCACUGAAACUACUAGUGCGUUUUUUUGGUCUCGUCGUCGUACUCGUCGUCGCGGUUAUAACCAACAGAAAAUGCCACAAAUGAACGAAAUUUCAGACAUGCUAUCUGAAGAGUUUUUAACCUCGUCUCAACUUGCACAAGAGUAAUUACCCAAACGUGUAUAAGCUGCACACAACACACUCGUACAAUUUUAAUAAAUUAAACACCAGCAAAACAUA